rnacentral:sRNA from 1 species
CAGGUGUCGAAGCCUGGCGAACGCAUUUUGUGCCUUCGAGCGUGAGAGUAGCUUCAGCUCGUUGAGCCACAGUUUUUUGACAACGGAAAGUAGUAGUGAUCGUGGGAUUCGAUUUCUGGGACCUGAUAAGAUCCCUGAAGUCAAGAAUCAACACUGAUUCAAUUUCGUCGCGCUCAGAUCAUACGGUUUACCGUGUGGUUUGAAAGCGAGCAAGAAAGAAUCAUUCGUUAGAUUGCGCGUAGUUUUAGACGUAGUCGACAGACUACGAAAAGAUUGUGUUUGUUUGAGUCAGAAAUCUGAUCAAGCGAAAGAAUGUAUGCCGGGGAUGCCUGGGUACACGGAGGCGAUGAAGGCCGUGGUAAGCUGCGAUAAGCCCAGGGGGAGCU